UGAACCUCCUUCGGGAGGGGAUUAGUGGCGAACGGGUGAGUAACACGUGGGCAAUCUGCCCUGCACUCUGGGACAAGCCCUGGAAACGGGGUCUAAUACCGGAUAUGAGCCUGGGAGGCAUCUCCCGGGUUGUAAAGCUCCGGCGGUGCAGGAUGAGCCCGCGGCCUAUCAGCUUGUUGGUGAGGUAACGGCUCACCAAGGCGACGACGGGUAGCCGGCCUGAGAGGGCGACCGGCCACACUGGGACUGAGACACGGCCCAGACUCCUACGGGAGGCAGCAGUGGGGAAUAUUGCACAAUGGGCGCAAGCCUGAUGCAGCGACGCCGCGUGAGGGAUGACGGCCUUCGGGUUGUAAACCUCUUUCAGCAGGGAAGAAGCGAAAGUGACGGUACCUGCAGAAGAAGCGCCGGCUAACUACGUGCCAGCAGCCGCGGUAAUACGUAGGGCGCAAGCGUUGUCCGGAAUUAUUGGGCGUAAAGAGCUCGUAGGCGGCUUGUCGCGUCGGAUGUGAAAGCCCGGGGCUUAACCCCGGGUCUGCAUUCGAUACGGGCAGGCUAGAGUUCGGUAGGGGAGAUCGGAAUUCCUGGUGUAGCGGUGAAAUGCGCAGAUAUCAGGAGGAACACCGGUGGCGAAGGCGGAUCUCUGGGCCGAUACUGACGCUGAGGAGCGAAAGCGUGGGGAGCGAACAGGAUUAGAUA
rnacentral:rRNA from 1 species